rnacentral:lncRNA from 1 species
GACGGGAUGUGCUGUUUGUCAGGAGCUUCCAGGGACCUGCACAAACACAGAGAAGGAGAAGCUGUGGCAGAGAGGGAGUGGAAUGGGAAAUGACAGCGGGAAGGACAAGGAUAGUGAGCUUGCACAAGCUGAACAUCAGGUUUUUUGCAUGUUCAAUAGGAAUUUGGCAGAUUUCAAACCAAAAUGAUGGCAGGUGAGUCUCACUGCUCUCCUCAGCUACAUCCCUGUCUGUUUGGAGUGAUCCAGGGAUGCUGCUGGAUAUUUAAGCCUGCUCUGAAGCAGACCUGGACCAAUGACAGCAGUGAUGAUAUUUCACUAGAGAACUACUCCUCUGGCUGGCUUUUCCUCUGGUAUUCUGAAAAAAACAGGCCUUGUCUUAAACAAUCUCUAUGGGGCUCUCAAUUGGGAGGGUUAUCCACCCUCAGGUUAAAUAAAUGCUUUAACUGAAUUUGCUGUUUGCAAAUUAUUUCCUUUCCAUUGCUCCUAUUUUAGUGUUACUAAAAAGCCAGCCAGGACCUUAGAUAUGUGAGGCUGUGAGACGAGCAUGGAGUAGGUAAGGAGUACUUAUCUAUAACAAUAGAUGAUAAGAGGGAAAAAACCCAUUUUUUUAUGCAUAUGAAAGUCUUGAUUUUCUACUGUUUUUACUGUUUCAAUUGCACUUAAUUUUCUAAAGUUCUUCUUCACCACAGUGUCUACCUUUCCACAAUAUCUUUCCUGCUUCUCCAUUAAGUGGUGCUCAAUCAAACCUUAUCUCUAGAAGGGAGAAAAAGCACAUUUAGAGCAUACAGAAGGUAUUUCACUUAAGUCUGCCCUCUCCACACCUUCAUAUCAGGUAACUUUUGUGUUGGGAUCUGUGCUUGCUCAGAGCUCCUGAUAUAGGGAAAGAGCUGGCUCCCCCAGUCAGUCACAGGAGACCCCUAUGUCCACAAAUGCAAUCACACAUUUCACAUCUGCAAUACCUUUCCACUCCACAGACCCCACGGAGUACAGCAGGAAGACAAGAGUACAACAGGGCCAAAGAAGAGAGGCUUUGGGUGACCCUGGAGCUCCAAUAAUUUUCACAGCGACCCAGAGGGAGAAGAAGGGCCAGACUCUGGGAUACAGGAAUCCACUUCAUAAGAAAAGACAAGAAUGUGAAAUUGUCACCAAGAUUUUAAAAGCAGCUCUCAUGGGUCCAAAACCACUGGGAAAAAAAACUUGGUAA